rnacentral:pre_miRNA from 1 species
AGUGUGAUUGCUGGAUCAUAUGGUAUGAGUAUGUUUAGUUUUGUAAGAAUCUGCCAAACUCUCUUCCAAAGUGGCUGUACCAUUUUGCAUUCCCACCAGCAAU